rnacentral:siRNA from 1 species
UGAAGGGAUGCCUCCACGUAG